rnacentral:snRNA from 1 species
GUGUGAUGGCAGCACAUAUGCUAAAAUUGGAACGAUGCAAAGAUUAACGUGGCCGCUGUACAAGGAUGACAUGCAAAUUCGUGAAGCAUUGCAUAUUUUU